GAUGAACGCUGGCGGCGUGCCUAAUACAUGCAAGUCGAGCGAACGGACGAGAAGCUUGCUUCUCUGAUGUUAGCGGCGGACGGGUGAGUAACACGUGGAUAACCUACCUAUAAGACUGGGAUAACUUCGGGAAACCGGAGCUAAUACCGGAUAAUAUUUUGAACCGCAUGGUUCAAAAGUGAAAGACGGUCUUGCUGUCACUUAUAGAUGGAUCCGCGCUGCAUUAGCUAGUUGGUAAGGUAACGGCUUACCAAGGCAACGAUGCAUAGCCGACCUGAGAGGGUGAUCGGCCACACUGGAACUGAGACACGGUCCAGACUCCUACGGGAGGCAGCAGUAGGGAAUCUUCCGCAAUGGGCGAAAGCCUGACGGAGCAACGCCGCGUGAGUGAUGAAGGUCUUCGGAUUGUAAAACUCUGUUAUUAGGGAAGAACAUAUGUGUAAGUAACUGUGCACAUCUUGACGGUACCUAAUCAGAAAGCCACGGCUAACUACGUGCCAGCAGCCGCGGUAAUACGUAGGUGGCAAGCGUUAUCCGGAAUUAUUGGGCGUAAAGCGCGCGUAGGCGGUUUUUUAAGUCUGAUGUGAAAGCCCACGGCUCAACCGUGGAGGGUCAUUGGAAACUGGAAAACUUGAGUGCAGAAGAGGAAAGUGGAAUUCCAUGUGUAGCGGUGAAAUGCGCAGAGAUAUGGAGGAACACCAGUGGCGAAGGCGACUUUCUGGUCUGUAACUGACGCUGAUGUGCGAAAGCGUGGGGAUCAAACAGGAUUAGAUACCCUGGUAGUCCACGCCGUAAACGAUGAGUGCUAAGUGUUAGGGGGUUUCCGCCCCUUAGUGCUGCAGCUAACGCAUUAAGCACUCCGCCUGGGGAGUACGACCGCAAGGUUGAAACUCAAAGGAAUUGACGGGGACCCGCACAAGCGGUGGAGCAUGUGGUUUAAUUCGAAGCAACGCGAAGAACCUUACCAAGUCUUGACAUAUUACGGCGGGGUCUAGAGAUAGACUCUUACUUCUUCGGAAGACUGUAAUACAGGUGGUGCAUGGUUGUCGUCAGCUCGUGUCGUGAGAUGUUGGGUUAAGUCCCAUAACGAGCGCAACCCCUAUUGUUAGUUACCAUCAUUAAGUUGGGGACUCUAGCAAUACUGCCGGUGACAAACCGGAGGAAGGUGGGGAUGACGUCAAAUCAUCAUGCCCUUUAUGACUUGGGCUACACACGUGCUACAAUGGCAGGUACAGAGGGAAGCGAGACUGCGAAGUUAAGCAAAACUCAAAAAGCCUGUCUCAGUUCGGAUUGCACUCUGCAACUCGAGUGCAUGAAGUUGGAGUUGCUAGUAAUCGCAGAUCAGAAUGCUGCGGUGAAUGCGUUCCCGGGUCU
rnacentral:rRNA from 1 species